rnacentral:misc_RNA from 1 species
AUAUCACUCAACAUUAGUUGAUUUAGAAAGCAUUAAUCUGUACAUUAGGGCCCCGCGAUCUAAAACAUGUUGUUCCCAGUCUGAUCUCACUCCAAAAGGAUUCUCCUCAAGCCAUGCUUCAUCUAAAAGGGUGAGCCUACCCCGGCCAUAUUUUAGGAAUAAUUCUUUCAUCCUUACUGCAACUGCUUCUAUGUCAGAUUGCAGAAAUACCUUCCCAUCUUGUGCAAGCAGAUCUAUCACAGCUUCAAACAAUGACUGUUGCAACAUUCUCCAUCUAUGUUCUGGGUUGUUGAAAUCAGGAUUUGGGCACUAUAUUGAGACAAGGACUAACUGUCCUGGAUAACUAGAAACUAUG